AUUUAUGUAGUUUAAACUAAAACAUUACAUUUUCACUGUAAAAAUAUAAUUUAAUCAUAAAUU
rnacentral:tRNA from 1 species